UACGUAGGGUGCAAGCGUUGUCCGGAAUUAUUGGGCGUAAAGAGCUCGUAGGCGGUUUGUCGCGUCUGCUGUGAAAACCCGAGGCUCAACCUCGGGCCUGCAGUGGGUACGGGCAGACUAGAGUGCGGUAGGGGAGAUUGGAAUUCCUGGUGUAGCGGUGGAAUGCGCAGAUAUCAGGAGGAACACCAAUGGCGAAGGCAGGUCACUGGGCCGCAACUGACGCUGAGGAGCGAAAGCAUGGGGAGCGAACAGG
rnacentral:rRNA from 1 species